AUCCAUCUGACGAGUCCCAAAUGAGAUGAAAUGCGCAUCCUGAAU
rnacentral:hammerhead_ribozyme from 1 species